AGGCUGGUUUUACAGUCACGCGUUUCGGCAGCGCCGUCGGAGCGCGCGCGCUCGGAUAUGUUUGGGGUAUUAGUAGCGUUUCAAAUUCGCGCGCUUGAGCAGCGCCGUUCGCGUCCUAUUCGCGCGGCGCGGUCGAAGCGCGCGCCGCUCGUGCGCUUCUACGGCCAUUGUGCGUUUUAGUCUCACGCCGUUGAGACGUGCCGUUAGGUACUGUUGUGUACAAAAUGAAUCACAUCGAUACGGGUCGAGUAAUUGACGAAGUGCGAAUUAGAAGAUGUUUAUGGGACCCGGCCGAUGAUUUUUAUAAGAAUAUAGAAUUUAUAAGAAUAAGGCGAAAAUAUUUAUAAAAUUUAUAACUAUUUUCUCGUAAAUCAGAGAAAGAUGUUACGUGUUCGCCUCUCAGUAACCUUGUAGCGUUAUAAGGAUCAACACCUACUGUUCUUCGACGUUUUUGUUGCCUUUUUUUCCAUAAAAAGUAAAUAGCCAGUACUCUAACCGCAUUGCCGUUCAUUUUGUAUCUGUUUGUACACGACUGUCUCACAGCAGCGAAACGCGCCGUACUAAUGUCGUUUUAUGGUGCACCGCUGUUCAAACGCGCGCUGUCCAACAGCGCGCUGUCCAACGGCGCGUCUAGCGGCGUGACUGUAAAACCAGCCUAAGCGUUUUGAAGCGCGCGCUUUGAUAACGCGCGUUUUGAGAACCAGUAGUUCUUAUUUAGGUGUACACAUGCAAACGCGCGUUUCGGAUGAAGCGCGCGUCGAACGCGCGCUUUGAUAUUUUCGUUCAAACGCGCGUUGGGAGGGCGUCAGCCGCGCGCUUCGAGAUACAUGAGCCGCCAUUUUGUUGUACAUUUGAUCGCGCGCUUUCGUGUAGAGUGGACGCACGGGACGACGAAAAUGGAGACCGAGCAUUUCGAUUCAGAUUUGUUUAUAGAUGAAAUUCAAAAACGACCAGCGAUCUGGGAUAUGGAAAGUCCCGAUUAUAAGAAUAAAGUGAUUAAAAAACGUAAUUGGGAGGAGCUUGUAGAAAUAUUGUGACGCUGGAGAUAGUUUAGAGAAAAAGAAACUGUUGGGUUCUACACUAACAAGAAAAUGGAAAAGUAUUCGAGACAAUUACAUAAGGGAGUCUAAACGGCAAAAAAAUCUUCCAUCUGGGUCUGGAUCCUCCAAACAUGUACCAUAUGUAUACUUCGCAAAA